rnacentral:snoRNA from 1 species
GCAUUAAAAGAAGGAACAUACUAUUUUGUGCCAGAACAAAUCAGGUCCUGAGACCAUUGCCUGGCCUCUGUGCCUAUGGGCUUUUGGUACUAAAGUGUGCUGCACAGUC